UACAGAGGGGGCAAGCGUUGUUCGGAAUUACUGGGCGUAAAGGGCGCGUAGGCGGCCUGUUAAGUCGGACGUGAAAUCCCUCGGCUCAACCGGGGAACUGCGUCCGAUACUGGCGGGCUUGAAUUCGGGAGAGGGAUGUGGAAUUCCAGGUGUAGCGGUGAAAUGCGUAGAUAUCUGGAGGAAUACCGGUGGCGAAGGCGGCAUCCUGGACCGAGAUUGACACUGAUGAGCGAAAGCUAGGGGAGCAAACGGG
rnacentral:rRNA from 1 species